rnacentral:rRNA from 1 species
GGAAUUUUCCGCAAUGGGCGAAAGCCUGACGGAGCAAUACCGCGUGAGGGAAGACGGCCUAUGGGUUGUAAACCUCUUUUCUCAGGGAGGAAAUCAAUGACGUUACCUGAGGAAUAAGCAUCGGCUAACUCCGUGCCAGCAGCCGCGGUAAGACGGAGGAUGCAAGUGUUAUCCGGAAUCACUGGGCGUAAAGCGUCUGUAGGUGGCUUAACAAGUCAACUGUUAAAUCUUGAAGCUCAACUUCGAAAUCGCAGUCGAAACUGUUAGGCUAGAGUAUAGUAGGGGUAAAGGGAAUUUCCAGUGGAGCGGUGAAAUGCGUAGAGAUUGGAAAGAACACCGAUGGCGAAGGCACUUUACUGGGCUAUUACUGACACUCAGAGACGAAAGCUAGGGUAGCAAAUGGGAUUAGAUACCCCAGUAGUC